UUGAUCAAUAGUAAAUCAGUCGCUGUAGUCUCUGUAGAAGAGAAUAAAUUUGACAUUGUGAUUGGUCAGUUAUCCAGUGUGGAUGAAGAUAAAGAUGACCAACAUGAAUAUUCUAUAACUGAUCCAUCUGGACUGUUUAUUGUAGAAGGCAAUGUAUUUAAGGCAGCCACAUCUGCAGUUAUUGACUUUGAAAAAGGAAACAAUUAUACUGUAACCUUGACAACAACAGAUAAAGGGAUACCACCCAUGUCACAUGAUAAAGAAAUAGUUAUAAAUAUUAUAGAUAUAAACGAAGCACCAUUAGACAUACAGUUAUCUUAUAGUCAGGUGGCUGAGAACAGUGUUAGUGGUGUAUUGGUGGGUAACUUGACCACUGUUGAUCCUGAUAAUUCUGGACAGAUCAUACAAACCUUUACUUAUCAGCUGAUUGACGAUGGGCAAGGCAGGUUUGAAAUCAAAGGAAAUACUUUACAGGUAAAGAAAUCAUCUGAAAUGUGUAACAACAAACCGUGUAUUCUAGAUUACGAACAAGACAAAGUUGUGAAUAUAAAGGUUAAAGUGACAGAUGAUGGUACACCUCCUUUGACCUUGGAAAAGGUCAUGGCUAUCUCAGUAAAAGAUGUCAACGAUCCACCUGUUAUUGAUAUUGUAGGAAAUACUGUCCCAGAAAAUGCUGAUGCAGAUUUUGAAAUUGGAAUAUUGAAAGUAACAGACCAGGAUCGAGGACAAAAUAUCAGACUGGUACUUCUAGACAAUACUGAAGUAUUUUAUUUGAAGGAUGGUAAAACCUUGGUUGCUAAGCAGUCACUGGACCAUGAAAAUCAAGACAAGUACUAUGUAUCUAUUGAGGCUACAGAUGAUGGAAUUCCUUCAACAAGUAGUAAUACCACAGUCACAAUUGAGGUUCUGGAUAGAAAUGAAAGUCCAUCAUUUGAAGGGGAAACAACCCUGUCUGUACCAGAAUUGUCACCUGUAGCAACAGUUAUUGGUCAAAUAACAGCAACAGACCCAGACAACAAUGAUGUUUUAACCUUGAAAAUAUCUAGUAUCAGUCAAGAGUUCUCACUAUCAAAUGUCAGCUGUGAUAAACAAGCUAUAGGAGGUACCACAUGUACAGCAGAUCUGGUUACACUGGGAUAUUUGAAGUUUUUGGAGAGGUCUGUGUAUACAGUGUCCAUCAAUGUACAGGAUGAGCAAGGUUCUCUGAUAGAACAGCAGUAUACAAUUAAUGUAAUAGAUGUCAAUGAUCCUCCACAGGAUAUUUUGUUUGGGGGUUCAGAAGGUACCAGUCUUAGAAUUGAUGAGAACACAGGUGAUGUUGAUGUAGCAGAGUUAUCUGCACUUGACCCAGAUGAAGGACAGACUCACACCUUUAGUUUGGUAGAUAAAAGCAGUGUUUUUGAGCUUCAAGGAAACAUGCUGAGGGUAAAAGCUGAUGCAGUGGUAGAUUAUGAAAGCCAGACUGAAUAUCCCAUCUCUGUAAAAGUAGAAGAUUCUGGUGAACCCAGGAAAGACUUUGUAAAGAAUGUUACUGUUACAGUCAACAACAUGAAUGAAGAGAUACUAUCAGUAACACUGGAUAACAAUGAGGUAGCAGAGAACAGUGACAGGGACACAGUCAUUGGAAAUCUAUUGGUUGAAGACCCAGACAAUGUCGUGGAGACAACUCAGACCUUUAAGUUUAUAUUAGUUAACAGUGCAGACAGCAGAUUUAAAAUAGAAAAUGGUCAGAUAAAGGUUGCCCAAAGUAAUGCAAACUGUCUUUCCAUGGGAGGAGAUUUGUGUAAAUUAAAUUAUGAAUCUACCAGUCAGUAUAAUGUGGAGAUCCUAGUAACAGAUACAGGCUUAGUACCAGUCAAGAGCAAAACAUUUUUAUUGGCUAUAGAACUGAUAAAUACAAAUGAUAUUCCAAGGAACUUACAGUUGAGUGCAUAUAAAGUAGAGGAGAGUGCCACAGCUGGUACAGUGAUUGGAGAUUUAACAUUUGAGGAUGAGGACAAAGACCAGACACACACUAUCUCAUUGGUUGAUGACAAUGGAGGACUUUUCUCUGUUAGUUCAACUGGGGUGGUCACCAAGGCAACAGAUGAAGCAUUGGAUCCAUCAAGAGUUUAUGUUAUAAAGGCUAAAAUUACUGAUAAUGGAAAUCCUGAAAAAUCUACUGAAAGGCUCUUCAGUAUAACAGUUAUUGGAGAGACAGUGAUAACUUUAACCUUGACCUCUGUUGGUGGUGCUGUAUCAUUUGAUAACAAUAAACCAUCUGUUUCUGAAAACUCUACGAUUGAUACAGUGAUAGGUACCAUUAAAGGAGAACAUCAAGAUAUAACACAAGAUAUGACAUUCAGUGUCGAGGAUACAGAAAACUCUGGAGUAGUUAAAUUUUCAAAUUCCACUUGUGUGACAAAGGAUGAGAAACGAGUAUGUACAGCUGCAGUAUUGGUUGGAGCAACAUUAGACUAUGAACUACUGUCUCGGUACACUCUGGUUUGUCAGGUGACAAAUACAGAUGGAAAGAAUACAGUGGAAAUGUUUCCUUUAUCUCUCGUAGAUGUCAAUGAAGCACCAACCAAAAUAGGUUAUAGUGAAGACCAACCAUCUGUUAUUGAGAAUAUUAAUGGUUUAACACUGGGCGUGUUCAGUGUUGAGGAUCCUGAUAACACAGAUACCCACACAUACACAUUGACUAAUGAUGGGGGAGGAAAAUUUACACUGACCCAGACAGGACAAUUAUCUAUAGCAGAUGGUGCUAAUUUGGAUUAUGAAACACAGCCUUCUGUAGACAUUGAGGUCAAGGUUACUGACAGUGGAAAUUUAAGUCUGAACCAAAGAUUUACAGUACUUGUGAUGGAUGUCAAUGAAAUUCCAAUAAAAGUAGACCUGACAAACAACAAGGUUUUAGAAAUGAGUGCAGUAGGAACAGUAGUGGGAAAUUUAGUAACAGAAGAUCCUGACAAAAACCAGACUUUUACAUAUGAACUGACUGACAAUGCUGAUGGCAGAUUUGUAGUGGAAGGAAAUGUUCUUAAGGUAAAUUCCAAGGGAAAAGGUUGUGAUACCAAAGGAAAUGAGAAUUGUCUACUUGACUUUGAAUCUGAUACCAGCCAUAGUAUUGGUGUCAUGGUAACAGACGGUGGAAAUCCACCAAUGAGUAAAGAGUUUACUUUGACUGUGGAUGUGGAUGAUGAUAAUGAUUCACCUUAUAACCUUGCUAUGAAAGCUGAAAAUUUGCCAGAAAAUUUACCAACAGGAAGUAAAGUGGCCACACUAACAGUAGAAGAUCAGGAUAUAGACGACACAUUUACAUACAGCUUGACUGCUGAAGCAGAGGACACAUUCGUUAUUGUAGAUAAUACUAUAAAACUCAGUAAGGAACUAAAUUAUGAGACAAAGUCAAGUUAUACCAUCACAGUACAGGCAACUGAUAGCAGAACAGAUCCCAAACAGAUUUCUAGAGACUUUGUACUGUCAGUGAUGAAUGUAAAUGAAGCACCAUUUGGCCUUGCUUUAAAAUCAGUUUCUGGGCAGACACCAUCAUUCCAAACAAACAGGCCAAUCAUUGAUGAGAACAAACCAACAGAGACUUUGAUUGGUCGAUUAAUUGUAUUAGAUCCUGAUGUAACAGACACAGUUACCUUUGGUUCAACCUCAACAAAGAUCAAACUAUACAACCAAAAAUGCAUUCCCUUAACUCAGGGUAUUAGAUGUACAGCAGAUGUGAGAAGUUCUGAAUCAUUUGAUUUUGAGACUGAAACAUCAGUGAGCCUCUUGUUUUAUGCAGUUGACAAUGAGGGAUCUAAGAUUAGUCAACAAACUACACUAACAAUCAUUGAUGCUAAUGAUGCACCAAGUGACAUUAUAGUUGAUGGCACUUUAGAUAUCCCAGAAAACUCUGUUGAUGUUGUUAUGGCAACCUUAUCAGCAACUGACCCUGACACAACACAAACACAUAGUUUUACCAUGCUAUCAGGAUCCAAGUUUUUCUACAUAGCACAUAAUAAACUGAAGGUGACAUCAGCAGCAGAGUUGGACUAUGAGACACAGAUAAAACAUGAGAUCACCAUCAGAGUAACAGAUAAUGGGGAACCGAAUCCAUUACAUUAUGACAAAGUUUUUAUUGUGACUGUUACUGAUGUGAACGAGCCAGUUUCAUCUGUUAGACUGUCCAAUAAUAAAAUAUCUGAGAGCAGUAAAUUGGGAGAUAUAGUUGGACAUUUGAUAGCAAUAGAUCCUGAUAAUGAAGUGGGAGAGAAGCAAACAUUUACAUAUACUAUUACAGACAAUGCUGACGGUAGAUUUACAAUAAAGGAUGGAAAUAUUGCUGUUGAUAAUGCUGAUUUUGACUUUGAGAAGGAGAGGACAUACACUAUCUCUGUAACAGUACAGGACAGUGGUACACCACCGCUGACAAAAGAUGUCACCUUCAUUAUAGAGAUAACUGAUGAUAACGAUUCCCCUACUGGUUUGACAUUGUCAGCUGAAAGUAUAGCAGAGAAUUCCCCCUUAGGUACAGCAGUUGGUACUUUAUCUGCAGAGGAUGAAGAUAAUGGUCAGACCUUGUCAUAUUUAAUGUGUAAGGGAGACUUCUUCUCUGUAACGGGUAACACUGUAGUCGUUAGUGGAUCUGUCGAUUAUGAAUCCACUCCCAGUGUAACAUUUCAAGUCAGAGUGUCAGAUGAUGGAUUUCCCGUUAAGUCAAUUGCAAAGAAUUUCACCAUAUCAGUUACUAACAAAAAUGAGAAGCCAGAAACGGUAAAAAUGUUAGAAACUGAAAACGUAAAAAAGAUGGAAAUUCCAGAAUGCACACUAAUCAAUGAUGUUUUAGGCACUUUAGUGGCAUUUGAUCCUGACCAGUCAGAUAAACUGACCUUCACCUUUAUGGAAACAGGAAGUAACAUUUUCAAACUGUCGUCUACAUCACCAGAUUGCAAACAGUCAACGCAAGCUCCGUAUACUACAGAGUGUAGUACUGAUGUUUUAUUGGACAAGAUUGUCAAUUAUGAAGAUCCAGAUCACAGAACUCAUAGACUUGUUGUUAUGGUGAAGGAUCAUCUUGGUCUUCAAACUCACCAGGAAUUUGUCUUUAAUAUAGUAAACUGUAAUGAACCUCCAUAUGACAUUGAACUUGAUGGAGAAGUAACAACUAUACCAGAAAAUUCACCAAACUUUGAGAUUGGUCAACUUGAAUCUCUAGAUGAUGAUGAGGAUGACCAACACAUCUACCAAGUUAUCACUUUUUGGGAAAUCUUCACAGUAAAGGAAGGAAUGUUGAUUGCUCAGUUUCCUGUAGACUAUGAAAAGAAACAGAGUUAUGAUGUGACUAUUAAAUCCAAGGACAAUGGAGUUCCAUCUCAGUAUUUCAUAAAGACUUUCACAUUUAACGUGAUAAAUGUGAAUGAGGCACCUUCAGCUAUUGCUUUGUCAUCUUAUGAUGUAAGCAACGCUGCAGGUAUAGGUGAUGCUGUAGGCAUAGUAACGGUCACUGACCCAGACAAUAGUGGAAUCACCCAUGAACAAACCCAUAACUGUACUGUAGGGGAGGAAGGUGUUGGAGUAUUUAUUGUCAACAAUCCUAACUUGUUACUGAAGGUUAGUGGAUCGAUUCCACUUGAUAAGAACCAGAUGAACAUCAGUAUCACAUGUGAGGAUUCUGGUAAACCACCAUUAUCAAAAACUGUUUUGGUAAACAUUCAAAUCAAAGAAACCAUUGAAGUGCCAAAGAUCAUUGUUCUACAAGAUCAGAAGACUGUCCCUGAAAAUGAGGAGACUUUUACAGUUGGUCAAGUACAAAUUGUGCAUCAACUGACAAUGGACGCUUUAACAGGGCCAUUUGCAUAUCUGUUGUCAGACCAAGAUAUUCCAUUCAAACUAGAUGGUGAUUUACUGAAGAUAAAAGAACCUCUAAACUAUGAGGACCAAUCAGAGUGGGAGGUGACUGUAACAGCCUCUGGCACUUACAAUGACAAAUCUUUUAAUCUUAAAGAAUCAUUCAAGAUACAAGUUUCUGAUGUAAAUGAGACACCAAUCAAAGUUAGGGUUUAUGGAGGAGGCUACAUACAGGAAAAUAGUCAGAAUGGGACUGUUAUAGGAGACCUUAACACUGAAGACCACGAAAAGGACCAAACCUAUAGUUACUCAUUAUUAGCUGUAGCUAAAGGUUUAGAUAUUUCCAAAUCAGACCCAUAUAUAGAAGAUGCUUUUGUAUUAGAUGGCAGAACAUUAAAAAUAGGAAGUAGACCAGAACUUAUAAACUUUGAAGAAAGCAGUGUGUUUACAAUUCAAGUGAAGUCCACUGAUUCUGGUGAACCAAGUCUCUCAGUCACAGACACCAUUAACAUUGUUUUAAAGGAUGUUAAUGAUCCACCAACUGAUGUAAAUUUGGACAGUUCAGUGAUAGCUGAAAACAGUCCAGUAAACACAGUAGUUGGUAAUGUUAUUGUACAAGAUGAAGACAAAAACCAGAAACACAACUGUCAUGUACAGAACUCUGUUGUUGUACCAUUUGAUAUAACAGAUGAUCUCAAACUAAUUGUUAAGAAAGAGGAGUUGGAUUAUGAGGAAACAAACACAUAUGUUAUAGAUGUGAUUUGCAGAGAUUUUGGGCUAGAUGGAACACACUUGUCAUACCAGAAAGCACUUAUUGUUAAUGUAACAAAUAUCAAUGAGCCACCGACUGAUAUUAAAAUAACAAAUCUUGAUGUAUCAGAAUCACAGCUGCCUGGUGAAGUAGUUGGCAAAGUCAGUGCUAUGGACCCUGAAUCACAACAGCUAGUCUUUAGUGUGGAAGGGUCAGCUGUGUUUAGAAUUGAAGGACAGAAUACAAUAGUGACUAGUGGUCAGUUAAAUUUUGAGGAAACAUCUGAACACACCAUAACAGUUAAAGUAACUGAUGAAGAAGGAUUGUUUUCAUCAAAAGAAUUUGUUUUAAAGGUAAAAGAUGAAAAUGAGGCUCCAACAGGAAUAAAGUUAGACAACAACCAAGUAGAAGAAAACGUUGAAGGUGGAACUGUGAUUGGGACAUUUAGUACAGAUGACCCUGACCAAGGACAGACAUUUACAUAUAAACUACUUCCUGGAGAUAGUGAUGGAUAUUUUGCCAUUUCUGGAAACAAGUUAGUGGCGGGACAGUCAACAUUAGAUUAUGAAACAAAUAACGAAUAUAAGAUAUUAAUAGUUAGCCAGGACAAUGGGAUACCUUCUAAAUCUGUGCAGGAAGAAUUCACUAUAUUUGUCAGAGAUUUGAACGACCCUCCUGAGUCUAUUAUUUUUGGCAAUGUUUCUCCUCUUGAUGAAGACACACUUCCAAAGACUAUUGUCACAGCAAUACAGGUUGAUGACCCUGAUGCUGGCCAAUCACAUUCCUGUAACCUUCAAACCAAAUCUACACCAUUCGCCAUUUUUACCAAUGAUAAUGCAGAAAAGUCCUUGGUGUUGACUAAUGUUUUAGAUUUUGAGACAACAAAGAAUUAUAAUUUAGUGGUGCAGUGCUCUGAUGGAGAAUUUUCUAUACAGAAGAACUUACAGAUUGAUGUUAAUGAUAAGAAUGAAGCUCCAACUUCCAUUGUUUUGUCAGGGUCACAAACAAUACUGGCAGAUGCAAAAGUUGGAGACUUGGUAGGACAGUUUUCAACCAAGGAUCCUGAUCAGAAUCAAGCUCACAAUUUUGUUUUAAAAGGACCCAAUUCUGAUCUUUUCAAGAUUGAUGGGAGAAAAUUACUAGUGGAUUCAGCCAUUCCUACAGCUGUUUUGACAAGUGCAAACCCAGUGAUCACAAUUACAGUACGGGUAUCAGAUAAUGGGGAUCCUAUUCAAUAUUUACAACAAAACUUAACACUGCUAGUCACAAAUAUACAAGUAGUUGCUGCGGAACUGCCAUCUGUUGCCCUUGACAACUUGGAUGUUGCAGAAGAUUCAGAUGUUGGAACAAUUAUUGGAACGUUGUAUAAUGUUAACCAGUCAGUCGAAGAUAAUAUUAUAUUUGAAUUAGAAAAAAAUCCUGGUGGUUUUUUCUCUAUAAAAGACAAUAAACAUCUGGUUCUAGAAAAGAGUUUAGCGGACUAUGUUGGCACCUCAGUUACAAUUGUAAUCAGAGUAAGAAACGUAGAAACAUUUGAGCAGUCAUCUCAACCAGUAACAAUUCUGAUCAAACAGGUUGAUAGAUGUUUUAACGAUGGUAAAACAUGUGAUGAGAAUGCUAGAUGUGUAAAAUUGAAUGCCACAUACCAUAUUUGUCAGUGUGAACAUGGUUUUACAGGGAAUGGAUACUCGUGUUUAAACAUUGAUGAUUGUACAGGAGAGGACAGUUGUCAGAAUGGGGCUACAUGUGUUGAUGGCAUAGACACAUUUUCAUGCAUCUGUCCAAAAGAUUUCAAUGGACUUAGAUGUGAAAAUUCAUUGCAACCUGAAAACCCAUGCAAUAAAAAUCCCUGUAAAAAUAAUGCUGCCUGUAUAUCUGAGGAUGGUAAAUCUUACGUGUGUAACUGUGCUCCAGGGUGGACAGGAGGAACAUGCUCAGAUAGCAUAGAUGAUUGUCAAAACUCAGUCUGUUUGGCAGGAGGACAGUGUGUAGACAAGCAUAGAACCUACAUAUGUAACUGUCCUCAGGACAGGACAGGACCUAGGUGUCAGUAUUUUGCAAGCACAUGUAACACUUACACAUGUGAAAACAAUAAAACUGACAUAUGUGUUCCACUUUACAACAAAAAUAAUUAUGCAUGUGGCAAAUCUGUAAAACUGACAAUAGAUACACCAAAAAAUACCAACCUUGAUGAACCUGAAUAUAAAGCUAGAAUAAAUGACGUUAUCUUGGAGUUACUAGACAGGAAAGGAAUUUCAACAACAACCAGGAGACGUAAGCGUAGAAGUGUCGACAGUGGAGAGGUUCAAGUUUAUGUAGAAAGUAUCAAUAAUAACGGAGAUGGAACAGUGACCGUCAGCUUUGUUGUAUUAAAUACAAACGAUAUGGCUUUCACAAAGGAGGAAGUCAAUGACAUGCUGUUUAAAAGUUGUACAGAUUUAGAAAGUGAAAAUUUAUCUGAGACUGAGGUUUGCCCUGCAGUCAUAGGGUUACAUACAAUUGUUCCAGAAGAGAAGGAAGAGGGAGGUUUAUCUGGGGCAGUCAUUGGAGGUGGUAUAGGUAAGUUCUAUAGACAAUUGUACCAGAAGAGAAGGAAGAGGGAGGUUUAUCUGGGGCAGUCAUUGGAGGUGGUAUAGGUAAGUGCUACAGACAAUUGUACCAGAAGAAAAGGAAGAGGGAGGUUUAUCUGGGGCAGUCAUUGGAGGUGGUAUAGGUAAGUUCUAUAGACAAUUGUACCAGAAGAGAAGGAAGAGGGAGGUUUAUCUGGGGCAGUCAUUGGAGGUGGUAUAGGUGGAGCUGUAGUGUUGAUAAUAAUUAUAGGUAUUAUAAUAGUGAUAGUAAAAAAGAAGAAAACAGAUUCAGAACUUAAAUAACCAUGCAUUGCAAGAUAAUUAUAGGACAAAAUGCUGAGGAGAAGUGGAAAGAUAUACUGUUUUUAAAAAAUACAUGUGUUUUUUCCAAUAGUGUUUGUUCUAUAUAUAGGGUCUUAAUUUUAAAAUAAUAGAGUUUUUAAUACAUUUA